CUACGGGUCGCUCCAGUGAGGAAUAUUGCACAAUGGGGGGAACCCUGAUGCAGCAACGCCGCGUGGAGGAUGACGCAUUUCGGUGUGUAAACUCCUUUUAUAUGCCAAGAAAAUGACGGUAGCAUAUGAAUAAGCACCGGCUAACUCCGUGCCAGCAGCCGCGGUAAUACGGAGGGUGCAAGCGUUACUCGGAAUCACUGGGCGUAAAGAACGCGUAGGCGGGUUGGAAAGUCAGGUGUGAAAUCCUACAGCUUAACUGUAGAACUGCACUUGAAACUUCUAAUCUAGAGUAUGGGAGGGGGAGAUGGAAUUAGUGGUGUAGGGGUAAAAUCCGUAGAUAUCACUAGGAAUACCUAAAGCGAAGGCGAUCUCCUGGAACAUUACUGACGCUAAGGCGUGAAAGCGUGGGGAGCAAACAGGAUUAGAUACCCGAGUAGUC
rnacentral:rRNA from 1 species